CCUACGGGAGGCAGCAGUGGGGAAUAUUGGGCAAUGGGCGCAAGCCUGACCCAGCAACGCCGCGUGAAGGAAGAAGGCUUUCGGGUUGUAAACUUCUUUUGACAGGGAAGAGAAGAAGACGGUCCGUGUCAAAUAAGCCAGGGCUAACUACGUGCCAGCAGCCGCGGUAAUACGAAGGUGGCAAGCGUUGUCCGGAUUUACUGGGUGUAAAGGGCGUGUAGCCGGGCUGACAAGUCAGAUGUGAAAGCCGGGGGCUCAACCCCCGAACUGCAUUUGAAACUGUUGGUCUUGAGUAUCGGAGAGGCAGGCGGAAUUCCUAGUGUAGCGGUGAAAUGCGUAGAUAUUAGGAGGAACACCAGUGGCGAAGGCGGCCUGCUGGACGACAACUGACGGUGAGGCGCGAAAGCGUGGGGAGCAAACAGGAUUAGAUACCCGUGUAGUC
rnacentral:rRNA from 1 species